rnacentral:rRNA from 1 species
CCUACGGGGGGCUGCAGUGGGGAAUAUUGCACAAUGGGGGAAACCCUGAUGCAGCGACGCCGCGUGAGUGAAGAAGUACCUCGUUACGUAAAGCUCUAUCAGCAGGGAAGAAAUACUGACCUUAUGGUCAGCAGACGGUACCUGAGUAAGAAGCCCCGGCUAACUACGUGCCAGCAGCCGCGGUAAUACGGAGGGGGCAAGCGUUAUCCGGAUUUACUGGGUGUAAAGGGAGCGUAGACGGUGCGCCAAGUCUGAAGUGAAAUGCCGCAGCUUAACUGCGGAACUGCUUUUGAAACUGGCGAGCUAGAGUGCGGGAGGGGUAGGCGGAAUUCGUGGUGUAGCGGUGAAAUGCGUAGAUAUUAGGAGGAACACCGGUGGCGAAGGCGGCUUACUGGACCGUAACUGACGUUGAGGCUCGAAAGCGUGGGGAGCAAACAGGAUUAGAUACCCUGGUAGUC